GGGCGGUUGGCGCAGUGGUAGCGCACUUCCCUGACACGGAAGGGGUCACAAGUUCGAAUCUUGUAUCGCCCACUA
rnacentral:tRNA from 1 species